rnacentral:hammerhead_ribozyme from 1 species
GCUGACGAGUCCCAAAUAAGACGAAACAGCUGUCC